rnacentral:rRNA from 1 species
UAACCUGCCCAAGAGACUGGGAUAACACCUGGAAACAGAUGCUAAUACCGGAUAACAACACUAGACGCAUGUCUAGAGUUUAAAAGAUGGUUCUGCUAUCACUCUUGGAUGGACCUGCGGUGCAUUAGCUAGUUGGUAAGGCAACGGCUUACCAAGGCAAUGAUGCAUAGCCGAGUUGAGAGACUGAUCGGCCACAUUGGGACUGAGACACGGUCCAAACUCCUACGGGAGGCAGCAGAC